rnacentral:rRNA from 1 species
AGUGAACGCUGGCGGUAGGCCUAACACAUGCAAGUCGAACGGCAGCACAGUAAGAGCUUGCUCUUACGGGUGGCGAGUGGCGGACGGGUGAGGAAUACAUCGGAAUCUACUUUUUCGUGGGGGAUAACGUAGGGAAACUUACGCUAAUACCGCAUACGACCUACGGGUGAAAGCAGGGGAUCCUCGGACCUUGCGCGAUCGAAUGAGCCGAUGUCGGAUUAGCUAGUUGGCGGGGUAAAGGCCCACCAAGGCGACGAUCCGUAGCUGGUCUGAGAGGAUGAUCAGCCACACUGGAACUGAGACACGGUCCAGACUCCUACGGGAGGCAGCAGUGGGGAAUAUUGGACAAUGGGCGCAAGCCUGAUCCAGCCAUACCGCGUGUGUGAAGAAGGCCUUCGGGUUGUAAAGCCCUUUUGUUGGGAAAGAAAAGCAGCAGGUUAAUACCCCGCUGUUCUGACGGUACCCAAAGAAUAAGCACCGGCUAACUUCGUG